rnacentral:rRNA from 1 species
AAACUGGAGAGUUUGAUCCUGGCUCAGAACGAACGCUGGCGGCGUGCCUAACACAUGCAAGUCGAGCGGUAACAGGGACAGCUUGCUGUCCGCUGACGAGCGGCGAACGGGUGAGUAACACGUGGGUAAUCUACCUUUCAGUCAGGAAUAACCCGAGGAAACUCGAGCUAAUGCCUGA